GACGAACGCUGGCGGCGUGCUUAACACAUGCAAGUCGAACGGAAAGGCCCUGCUUGCAGGGUACUCGAGUGGCGAACGGGUGAGUAACACGUGGGUGAUCUGCCCUGCACUUCGGGAUAAGCCUGGGAAACUGGGUCUAAUACCGGAUAUGACCUUCCAUGUAGUGUGGGGGGUGGAAAGAUUUAUCGGUGUGGGAUGAGCCCGCGGCCUAUCAGCUUGUUGGUGGGGUAAAGGCCUACCAAGGCGUCGACGGGUAGCCGGCCUGAGAGGGUGGACGGCCACAUUGGGACUGAGAUACGGCCCAGACUCCUACGGGAGGCAGCAGUGGGGAAUAUUGCACAAUGGGCGGAAGCCUGAUGCAGCGACGCCGCGUGGGGGAUGACGGCCUUCGGGUUGUAAACCUCUUUCGACAGGGACGAAGCUUCGGUGACGGUACCUGUAUAAGAAGCACCGGCUAACUACGUG
rnacentral:rRNA from 1 species